UGCAAGUCGAACGCUGAGGUUUGGUGUUUACCCUAGACUGAUGAGUUGCGAACGGGUGAGUAACGCGUAGGUAACCUGCCUCAUAGCGGGGGAUAACUAUUGGAAACGAUAGCUAAUACCGCAUAACAGUAAUUAACACAUGUUAGUUAUUUAAAAGGAGCAAUUGCUUCACUGUGAGAUGGACCUGCGUUGUAUUAGCUAGUUGGGGAGGUAAAGGCUCACCAAGGCGACGAUACAUAGCCGACCUGAGAGGGUGAUCGGCCACACUGGGACUGAGACCCGGCCCAGACUCCUACGGGAGGGAGCAGUAGGGAAUCUUCGGCAAUGGGCGCAAGUCUGACCGAGCGACGCCGCGUGAGUGAAGAAGGGUUUCGGAUCUUAAAGCUCUGUUGUUACAGAAGAACGUUGGUAGGAGUGGAAAAUCUACCAAGUGACGGUAACUAACCACAAAGGGACGGCUAACUACGUGCCAGCAGCCGCGGGAAUACGUAUGUCCCGAACGUUGUCCGGAUUUAUUGGGCGUAAAGCGAGCGCAGGCGGUUCUUUAAGUCUGAAGUUAAAGGCAGUGGCUUAACCAUUGUACGCUUUGGAAACUGGAGGACUUGAGUGCAGAAGGGGAGAGUGGAAUUCCAUGUGUAGCGGUGAAAUGCGUAGAUAUAUGGAGGAACACCGGUGGCGAAUGCGGCUCUCUGGUCUGUAACUGACGCUGAUGCGCGAAAGCGUGGGGAGCAGACAGGAUUGAGUAUACCCCUG
rnacentral:rRNA from 1 species